UACGAAGGGGGCUAGCGUUGUUCGGAAUUACUGGGCGUAAAGCGCACGUAGGCGGGCGAUUAAGUCAGGGGUGAAAUCCUGGAGCUCAACUCCAGAACUGCCUUUGAUACUGAGGAUCUUGAGUACGGGAGAGGUGAGUGGAACUGCGAGUGUAGAGGUGAAAUUCGUAGAUAUUCGCAAGAACACCAGUGGCGAAGGCGGCUCACUGGCCCGUAACUAACGCUGAGGCACGAAAGCGUGGGGAGCAAACAGG
rnacentral:rRNA from 1 species